CAUGCAAGUCGAGGGGAAACGACAUCGAAAGCUUGCUUUUGAUGGGCGUCGACCGGCGCACGGGUGAGUAACGCGUAUCCAACCUGCCCACCACUUGGGGAUAACCUUGCGAAAGUAAGACUAAUACCCAAUGACGUCUCUAGAAGACAUCUGAAAGAGAUUAAAGAUUUAUCGGUGAUGGAUGGGGAUGCGUCUGAUUAGCUUGUUGGCGGGGUAACGGCCCACCAAGGCGACGAUCAGUAGGGGUUCUGAGAGGAAGGUCCCCCACAUUGGAACUGAGACACGGUCCAAACUCCUACGGGAGGCAGCAGUGAGGAAUAUUGGUCAAUGGACGAGAGUCUGAACCAGCCAAGUAGCGUGCAGGAAGACGGCCCUAUGGGUUGUAAACUGCUUUUAUAAGGGAAUAAAGUGAGAGUCGUGACUCUUUUUGCAUGUACCUUAUGAAUAAGGACCGGCUAAUUCCGUGCCAGCAGCCGCGGUAAUACGGAAGGUCCGGGCGUUAUCCGGAUUUAUUGGGUUUAAAGGGAGCGUAGGCCGGAGAUUAAGCGUGUUGUGAAAUGUAGAUGCUCAACAUCUGAACUGCAGCGCGAACUGGUUUCCUUGAGUACGCACAAAGUGGGCGGAAUUCGUGGUGUAGCGGUGAAAUGCUUAGAUAUCACGAAGAACUCCGAUUGCGAGGGCAGCUCACUGGAGCGCAACUGACGCUGAAGCUCGAAAGUGCGGGUAUCGAACAGGAUUAGAUACCCUGGUAGUCCGCACGGUAAACGAUGGAUGCCCGCUGUUGGUCUGAAUAGGUCAGCGGCCAAGCGAAAGCAUUAAGCAUCCCACCUGGGGAGUACGCCGGCAACGGUGAAACUCAAAGGAAUUGACGGGGGCCCGCACAAGCGGAGGAACAUGUGGUUUAAUUCGAUGAUACGCGAGGAACCUUACCCGGGCUUG
rnacentral:rRNA from 1 species